rnacentral:lncRNA from 1 species
UUAGUACUAAAAAAGGGUUAUUUUUAUCUCUGAAAAACUCGACUGUGCCAAAAAUGUGUCAUUUUGGCCUCCAGAAGUCAGUUUUUCAUCAAUGCGGAUUUUUCGUUAUGGCCCAUUAAUAGUCAGAUAACAUAGGUGAUAAUCAUUCUGCACCAGUAUCAUGACUACCCCACUAUUUUCCACAGUAUGUGAUCGCAUCAACAUAUCUGUUCUCUGAAGCUCCGAAAGGUGUCCUAGAACAACCCAUCUUGGUUGUUAAAAACUCUAAAAAAAUUUCAAUCACUAAAUUUUUUCUGGAGACUCAUCUCAUCAUUGCUAUAAAAAAUGCCCUAUUUUUAGGCAUUUGACCCAUUCAUGCGAAUGGGCUUAUUUUUGAACAAAUGACUUUUUGGAAUGAAUGGGGGAUCUCCUCUCGUCCUAGAGGCCUUCUCGUGAGAAUGUGUCGUUUCGUACGAAAGGUGCUUUCGUCCGAAAGAGGCUGAUCAAGAAUAUUCCCAAUAACAUUUUUCGAUCCUAAAUCUUUAUUUCUACGAAUUUCAUUAUGAAACUUCACAGAUAUGUGCGAAAAUAAAUUACGAAUCUAAUGAUGUCUUCAAUUUCAAAUUCCAUCCGUGAAUUGACCUUCAAUUUGUUAUCGAUUGAAUCGGUACCGUAGCUCUGAUACCAAUUGAGAUUCCUGGAUCCGGCGGGAUUAGAUGGAGUUUUGGCCCCAAUAGAACUGAUUUGGUAGAAUAUUAUU